rnacentral:rRNA from 1 species
GAUGAACGCUGGCGGCGUGCCUAAUACAUGCAAGUCGAGCGAACAGAUAAGGAGCUUGCUCCUUUGACGUUAGCGGCGGACGGGUGAGUAACACGUGGGUAACCUACCUAUAAGACUGGGAUAACUUCGGGAAACCGGAGCUAAUACCGGAUAACAUUUGGAACCGCAUGGUUCUAAAGUGAAAGAUGGUUUUGCUAUCACUUAUAGAUGGACCCGCGCCGUAUUAGCUAGUUGGUAAGGUAACGGCUUACCAAGGCAACGAUACGUAGCCGACCUGAGAGGGUGAUCGGCCACACUGGAACUGAGACACGGUCCAGACUCCUACGGGAGGCAGCAGUAGGGAAUCUUCCGCAAUGGGCGAAAGCCUGACGGAGCAACGCCGCGUGAGUGAUGAAGGGUUUCGGCUCGUAAAACUCUGUUAUUAGGGAAGAACAAACGUGUAAGUAACUGUGCACGUCUUGACGGUACCUAAUCAGAAAGCCACGGCUAACUACGUG